UGUAUAGGUAGUUGCAGGUAGUUGCAUCA
rnacentral:piRNA from 1 species